UACAGAGGGGGCAAGCGUUGUUCGGAAUUACUGGGCGUAAAGGGCGCGUAGGCGGCCCGCUAAGUCGAACGUGAAAUCCCUGGGCUCAACCCAGGAACUGCGUCCGAUACUGGCAGGCUUGAAUCCGGGAGAGGGAUGCGGAAUUCCAGGUGUAGCGGUGAAAUGCGUAGAUAUCUGGAGGAACACCGGUGGCGAAGGCGGCAUCCUGGACCGGUAUUGACGCUGAGGCGCGAAAGCCAGGGGAGCAAACGGG
rnacentral:rRNA from 1 species